AUUGGGUUCCGGCAUUGGAAUGAGAACAAUAUAAAUCUUUUAACGAGGAUCUAGUGGAGGGCAAGUCUGGUGCCAGCAGCCGCGGUAAUUCCAGCUCCGCAAGUGUAUAUCUAUGUUGCUGCAGUUAAAAAGCUCGUAGUUGGAUCUGCGUGUUUAGCGUCCGGUUCGACUUUUGGUCGUUACUGGAACGCGACACAGAUGUGCUGGUUUGCCGUUGAUGCUCUUAACCGGGUGUCAGUGGCGGCUAGCGAGUUUACUUUGAAAAAAUUAGAGUGCUCAAAACAGGCGUUUCGCCUGAAUAUUUCUGCAUGGAAUAAUAGAAUAGGACUUCGAUUCUAUUCUGUUGGUUUUCGGAAUGCGAAGUAAUGAUUAAGAGGGACAGACGGGGGCAUUCGUACUGCGACGUUAGAGGUGAAAUUCUUGGAUCGUCGCAAGACGUACUACUGCGAAGGCAUUUGCCAAGAAUGUUUUCAUUAAUCAAGAACGAAAGUUAUGGGUUCGAAGGCGAUCAGAUACCGCCCUAGUCAUAACCGUAAACGAUUCAAACUGGGCGCCCGACGGUGUUUUUAUUGACCCGUCGGGAACCCUCCCGGAAACGAAAGUGUUCGUGUUCCGGGGGAAAUAUGUCUGCAAAGAGGAAACUUAAAGGAAUUGACGGAAGGGCACCACCAGGGGUGGAGCCUGCGGCUUAAUUUGACCCAACACGGGGAAACUCACCCGGCCCGGACACCGUAAGGAUUGACAGAUUGAGAGCUCUUUCUUGAUUCGGUGGGUGGUGGUGCAUGGCCGUUCUUAGUUGGUGGAGUGGUUUGUCUGGUUUAUUCCGAUAACGAACGAGACUCUGGCCUGCUAACUAGUGUUCACAUCUUUACGUGUGCUUCGCUUCUUAGAGGGACAGGCGGCUUCCAGCCGCAUGAAGAAGAGCAAUAACAGGUCUGUGAUGCCCUUAGAUGUCCGGGGCUGCACGCGCGCUACACUGAAAGAAUCAGCGUGUACGUUACCUGGCUCGAAAGAGUCGGGUAAUCCGGUGAAAAUCUUUCGUGAUUGGGAUCGGGACUUGCAAUUAUUUCCCUUGAACGAGGAAUCCCUAGUAAGUGCGGGUCAUCAGCUCGCGCUGAUUACGUCCCUGCCCUUUGUACACACCGCCCGUCGCUGCCCGGAACUGAGCCGUUUCGAGAAAAAUGGGGACUGUCUACUUGAGGUCUUCACGGACUUUUUGUAAAUGGAAACCGCUU
rnacentral:rRNA from 1 species